ACUAUAUGCCUUUCAUACUUUUCCCUUACUUUCAGUCUAUUUUGAUGUUUAUAUAACCUCCAUUAAUCUUUUCAUUAGUUCUGAUCGGCAUUUUCUUGCGGAUCCAUCUUUAGUUUUUCCUCCUUUACUAACUGUUGCAGUUGAACGAUCAAUUGUAAGAUCAGAUUUCUGUAUCAAGCAGCAGCUGUUUGAAUGCUCGGAUUAAUGCUUGGUGUCCUGGGGACAAAGAGGCUCCCUAACCCAAGUAGAUCUUUUGAGCUCGCACACUGUUCUCGAUGUGGGAGAGAGAUGAGUGCGCUUGUGGAGCGCAUGUGUUGGAAAAUAGCUGCUAAAAGGAACCAGGAGUCAUAUCUUUUGUGUAGAGUAAAAGAGUCCUAUGCAAAAUCCAUAGAGCAAAAGGAAGUGAUUUGGCUCCUUGGCUUGCUCGACUGACCAGUCCACCUUCCCGCCUAGUUGAUUUUGGAUUUUCCACUGAUAUGUUUGACAAGGAUACGUUUGGCAGCAAAGAGUUGACAAUUACUGGCAUUUGUUGAAACCAAAAAUCAAGUCAAACACACUUAGGAACAUAAUGGACAUGAAGGCUAACAUAGGUUCCUUUGCUGCUGCUUUGAAAGGCAAAGAUGUGUGGGUGAUGAAUGUGGUGCCAGUAUUUGUACAUUAGAAGCACAUGAAUUAAACUUGUUAUUGCUUUCUAAGCAUUCAAGUGGGAGGGAGAAUGUGAUGCCAUGGAAGAGAUGUUUGUGCCGUUCCAAGGGAUCAAGAACGAUCUUCGAGGGCGGUUGAUGAAUAUUACUUCUCCUUCUGGAAUGUGAUGAACUUGGAUAAUUUCAAUAUCAAUUCCCUGACAGGAAUAUUGUUGGAUAACCAAUAAUUUCAGGGUUGAGAGUUUGUAU